UGAUUGCUACAAAAGCAUUUGCACUCGGUUUCAGCUAUAGGAAGUGUGAUUGGUCGUACAUGAUGGAUUGACAUUCUCGUCUAUUUGGAUCACAUACAGAAGACAAGCCAAGUCAGAGCAGACAAUACGUAUGCGAUUGAGACAUUAUUUUUGUGAAAUUUAUGAUUCUUCCACAUGUUUGAAUGAUGUAGAAGAUGUACAGGAAACUUUUAAUGAUGAUACGAUAUCGGUUCAAUCACAAUUCAUAAGCGAAACGAAUGCCAAAUACUAAUACUAUAUAUCCAUGAAUCAUUUACCAAUAGUAUUUUUACUGUUCGUGAAUGCUGAGAAAGUUUAUGUCUAAUGUAUUAGCUGUGUCAACCAUUUAUAGUGUGAAGCCACUUUCCACUUGCAACGCUAAGGAUACCUAGACGCACAAAUACAUUAUGCUAGUGGCACGGCCAAAAUUAUUUACUCCAAAGUCUUUAUCCUCUUCGUUUAUAUCGCUAACAAGAAAUCGUAGUCACAAAUGUACAUACGUUGAAACAUUUGAACAACGUACAACAAGCCAAUAAUGACAAGAAUGGAGAUGAAAGUGGUGAUGGUUAGUGGUAGUCGUGGUAGUAAUGGAAGUGGUAAGUGGAAGUGGUAAGUGGAAGUGGUAAGUGGAAGUGGUAAGUGGAAGUGGUAAGUGGAAGUGGUAAGUGGAAGUGGUAAGUGGAAGUGGUAAGUGGAAGUGGUGGUGGUGGUGGUAGUGCUUGUGGUAAGUGUAAGUGGUAAGUGGAAGUGGUAGUGGUAGUGGUGCUGUGCUGAUGCUGGCGCCGAUACUGGUGAUGAUGUUGAUGCCUAUACUGACACUAGUACUGACACUAGAUGACACUAGUACUGGUACUAAUGGUACCAUUCAACUUGGCAAGUAUAAGACUUAUGUGUGUAAGUGGUAAAAAAUCAAUGAGUAAACUCCACUAAGAAAAUUUCACAACUCCGUUGAUUCUUUUGAGUAUACAAACAUGAACGUUCAAGUUUUACCUUUGUUAAUUCAAUUCUAAUUAUACUGGUUUGUACUUGCUAAGCAUGUCCUGUUCACUUAUCUAAUUCGUUUCAAUUGCGGCAACUCUGGUCCGAUUUAUAAUUCGAAGGACUGAGUUUUUACCCUUUGGAUAAAGUUUUUCAACAUACUUACAAUGAUUAUGGUCUCCACUCCUGACGUAGGUCCAUGUGGUAAUAGAACACAAACUUCAAAAUCUCAUCACUAUAUUAUACUUGGUACAACAUGCAAUACCGAUUGUAUAUACCGAAUACAGUUUCCUAUUGCAAUGAAUGUGAUUUAAUCAUUUUAUGGGAGUUUUUUCAUUCAAAACUGCUUUAAAUCUAAAAACUCUUCUUUAUUCUUGACACUCGUAUAUGUUGUCUGAUAUUCCUAUUCGUGUUUCAAUAACGAAGUUUACUUUCAUUCAAAUAAAUAGAACCAAUCAAGUUUACUAGUGCUUAUUUUUUUCUUUUUUAAUAAAAAGAAUGAAUAUUAGGUGUAUGAUAUGAAUACGUUUUUGUUUGUUUGUUUGCAAAUUAAAAUUAAAAACAACAAAAAAUUAAAGCUACUGAUUUAACUUUGCUUAUUCCAUAACACUUCUUACUCAAUCUCACAUAACC